GACGAACGCUGGCGGCGUGCUUAACACAUGCAAGUCGAACGGAAAGGCCUGCUUUCCCUUGUGGAUUGCGGGUACUCGAGUGGCGAACGGGUGAGUAACACGUGAGUGAUCUGCCCCCAACUUGGGUAUAAGCCUGGGAAACUGGGUCUAAUUCCCGAUAGGACUGCAGGGUGGUGCCUGUGGUGGAAAACGAUUUUCUAGUGGUUGGGGAUGAGCUCGCGGCCUAUCAGCUUGUUGGUGGGGUAAUGGCCUACCAAGGCGGCGACGGGUAGCCGGCCUGGGAGGGUGGACGGCCACAUUGGGACUGAGAUACGGCCCAGACUCCUACGGGAGGCAGCAGUGGGGAAUAUUGCACAAUGGGCGGAAGCCUGAUGCAGCGACGUCGCGUGGGGGAUGACGGCCUUCGGGUUGUAAACUCCUUUCGACCGCGAGGAAGCCACCUGGUUGGAAGGGUGGUGACGGUAGUGGUAGAAGAAGCACCGGCUAACUACGUG
rnacentral:rRNA from 1 species